rnacentral:piRNA from 1 species
UGAAAGCAUACGAACAGUGGUAUAAACUGC